rnacentral:rRNA from 1 species
AACGUAGGACGCAAGCGUUAUCCGGAGUUACUGGGCGUAAAGCGCGUGCAGGCGGCUCGAUGCGUCUGAUGUGAAAUCUCCUCGCUCAACGGGGAGAGGCCAUUGGAAACGGUCGAGCUGGAGGGCAGUAGAGGCAGGCGGAAUUCCGGGUGGAGUGGUGAAAUGCGUAGAGAUCCGGAGGAACACCAGAGGCGAAGGCGGCCUGCUGGGCUGCACCUGACGCUGAGCCGCGAAAGCCAGGGGAGCGAACGGG